AUUUUAUUUUUUUAAAGAGUAAAACACAUGUACACCAAUAUUGCCUUGUUACUAAUUAUGAGAUUUUCAGGCUUGUGGAGAACAGCUUUUUUUUUAUCUACUCUUUGGCUGGCCAAUGUAAAUAAGCAAUGAUAUCAUGAAUGCAGCGAGAGAGUUUAUUUGAUGUAUUUUAAAAUCACUGAUAAUAUUUAUUGGUGUAUUUUAAAAUCACUGAUAAUAUUUAUUGGUGUAUUUUAAAAUCGCUGAUAAUAUUUGUUUUGUGGCUGGAAGAUGGUAACCAUGGUGACUUGUGAAUUUUUAUGAAGGAUUAAUAAAAAGCAGUAAAAAUUA